rnacentral:lncRNA from 1 species
ACUUACCGAACGAACACAAUAAAAAAUCUCACAAAAAGAGGCGUAUUGGGAAAAACCAAAAAGGAGAGGAAGCAAAAUGAAAAUCGGCAGAGGAGAAAAGGGAAUUAAACAUAAAAAAGAUAAGAGGAAUUUUGGAAAAAAAUAAUAAAAAUAAAAUAAAAUCUAUUUUAAAAUCCCACUAACAUCCCAACUCCCCACUAAUUCACAUCCAACUACCCUAGAAUUCCAACCCCACCGAAACUCUAUCAAUCAACAGAGCAAAAAUAAUAUCUACACUCAUGCAAAGAUUUGAACACAUGACCUUCAACAUAACAACCCCC